ACGUAAUAGAUACCCGGGUAGUCCACGCCCUAAACGAUGUCUACUAGUUGUUGGUGGAGUAAAAUCCAUGAGUAAACGCAGCUAAACGCGUGAAGUAGACCGCCUGGGGAGUACGGUCGCAAGAUUAAAACUCAAAGGAAUUGACGGGGGCCCGCACAAGCGGUGGAUUAUGUGGAUUAAUUCGAUGCAACGCGAAAAACCUUACCUGGCCUUGACAUGCCACUAACGAAGCAGAGAUGCAUUAGGUGCCCGUAAGGGAAAGUGGACACAGGUGCUGCAUGGCUGUCGUCAGCUCGUGUCGUGGGAUGUUGGGUUAAGUCCCGCAACGAGCGCAACCCUUGCCAUUAAUUGCCAUCAUUUAGUUGGGCACUUUAAUGGGACUGCCGGUGACAAACCGGAGGAAGGUGGGGAUGACGUCAAGUCCUCAUGGCCCUUAUGGCCAGGGCUUCACACGUAAUACAAUGGUCGGUACAGAGAGUUGCCAACCCGCGAGGGGAGCUAAUCUCAGAAAGCCGAUCGUAGUCCGGAUUGUUCUCUGC
rnacentral:rRNA from 1 species